GAUGUAGUUAAUGGAGAUGGAGGUGUGUUCUAGUGGGUCUGGGCAGGUGUGAUGUAGUUAAUGGAGAUGGAGGUGUGUUCUAGUGGGUCUGGGCAGGUGUGAUGUAGUUAAUGGAGAUGGAGGUGUGUUCUAGUGGGUCUGGGCAGGUGUGAUGUAGUUAAUGGAGAUGGAGGUGUGUUCUAGUGGGUCUGGGCAGGUGUGAUGUAGUUAAUGGAGAUGGAGGUGUGUUCUAGUGGGUCUGGGCAGGUGUGAUGUAGUUAAUGGAGAUGGAGGUGUGUUCUAGUGGGUCUGGGCAGGUGUGAUGUAGUUAAUGGAGAUGGAGGUGUGUUCUAGUGGGUCUGGGCAGGUGUGAUGUAGUUAAUGGAGAUGGAGGUGUGUUCUAGUGGGUCUGUGCAGGUGUGAUGUGUUAAUGGAGAUGGAGGUGUGUUCUAGUGGGUCUGUGCAGGUGUGAUGUGUUAAUGGAGAUGGAGGUGUGUUCUAG